rnacentral:rRNA from 1 species
UAUUGCACAAUGGGGGAAACCCUGAUGCAGCGACGCCGCGUGAGUGAAGAAGUAUUUCGGUACGUAAAGCUCUAUCAGCAGGGAAGAAAAUGACGGUACCUAACUAAGAUGCCUCGGCUAACUACGUGCCAGCAGCCGCGGUAAUACGUAGGGGGCAAGCGUUAUCCGGAUUUACUGAGUGUAAAGGGAGCGUAGACGGCAGCAAAAGUCUGGGGUGAAAUCCCGCAGCUCAACUGCGGAACUGCUUUGGAAACUGUGCAGCUGGAGUGCAGGAGAGGUAAGCGGAAUUCCUAGUGUAGCGGUGAAAUGCGUAGAUAUUGGGAGGAACACCAGUGGCGAAGGCGGCUUACUGGACUGUAACUGACGUUGAGGCUCGAAAGCGUGGGGAGCAAACAGG